GACGAACCGUGCGAACGUUGUUCGGAAUCACUGGGCUUAAAGGGCGCGUAGGCGGCCUGCCAAGUCAGGGGUGAAAGCCCCCAGCUCAACUGGGGAAGUGCCUUUGGUACUGGCGGGCUCGAGGGAGGUAGGGGUCGUGGGAACUUCCGGUGGAGCGGUGAAAUGCGUUGAUAUCGGAAGGAACGCCGGUGGCGAAAGCGCACGACUGGACCUCUUCUGACGCUGAGGCGCGAAAGCCAGGGGAGCAAACGGG
rnacentral:rRNA from 1 species